CGACGACACUGAGGACGAGGACGGCGGCGGCGCGGCGGCGGGCGACGUGAGCAGGCCGCCGCCGCCGGGCUUGCGGGCAUUGGCGGCCGCGGGCGGCUGCUGCUGCUGCUGCUGCUGCUGGGGCUUCAGCGACAUGCAGGAGGUGUUGGCCACUGCACGGACACCUUGCUCAGCCCCCACCUGAUGCCACCUAGAGAAUGGACUGCAGUGACUUCUGGGCGGGGACUGUCUUGCUCCUAUCAAGCACCUGGAACACAAGCAUCCCAUAGUUUUCUUUGUACCCCCCACCCCCCCGCACCUGGCACACAGUAGGCUCUCACAUGUCCCUGGGUGUCUAAGAGGCAGGCUGUCCUGUCUUUCUCUGCCAAAGAUGACAGGGUCGGAAUGGAGCAACCUCCCGGGGCCACUCUCAGCUGGUUCCCUUUUCCCCACUUGUUUCGCCCCAGCAACACAGUAACUGGAAAACUCUUUUGGGUAUCCGACUUUCAUUUGAACCCAUUUUCCCUUGCUUGAACUUCUUUUCCUCCUUCGUGAGACUCAAAAGGAAGUGGACAUGACUGGUAGAGCUGUGGAUAAUGGGGCUCCUUCAGUGGAGCCAGAACAGACCUCACAAGAAGGUGCGAACUUUAGACCUUGGUCCGUUUAGAAGUUUUGCUUUAACUUGGGUUGGUAGCCAACACGGUAGUCCAUGUUUUCAAUGUGCUGCAAUUAAACUGGAAGCAAGUAGAUAACUUUUUUUCUUCCUUUGUGCAAGGAAUCUAGUUUUUUAAAAAGUGAAAUUACUUCAGGAAAUGGUAGGAGGAAAACACCAGAAUUCCCCUCAACCUCCCAGAAUUGUCAGAUAAAGGUAAAAACAGAAAAACUUGGAGAAUGAUUAAGCCACGAGUCUUCAGUAGCCAAAUUGAAAUUAAUCUCCUAGAUAGCCCAGGCAAAAAUGAUCAUUAUAUUCUGCAAACACUUGAAAAGUAGAAAAUCAGCUUUUCUCCCAGCUGAGGUAAAAAGAAGGGGAGGGGGAGUAGCAUUCUUUUAAACCAACAUUUGCAAAAUCUUUUAAAAAUUAACCCAAAGGAAAUUGAGACUAAAAAACCAGAUGAGGGGGGAAAAAAAAUAGAAGGGCCAUAAUAGAAAUACAGUCAGCUUUCUGUGGUUUAAUGAUUUGACAGUUAGCCAUAUCUGAGAACAAGGUCCCAGAGUUCAAUCUUAGGACCAAAUUCCAGACAAAUGGGAGGAACAACAAGCGGAAUAAGAAUGCCUAAAGCUGACAUAGCUGAACUUGAUUUCAUUUACGCUGAGAAAGCUCAAAUUUUCAUCCACUAUCACUGAAAAUAUAUUGUAACAGUUUUAUUGAGGUAUAAUUUACAUUUUGUGAAAUUCACCCAUUUUGCAUACAAUUCAAUGAUUCUCAGAAAAUCUAGAGAGUUGCGCAACUAUCACAACUAAUUUCAGAACAUUUCUUUCACCCCAAAAGGACCUUUCAUACCCAUUUGCAGUGACUCCUGGUUUCAAUCCUCAGCCCCAACAACCCCUAAUCUACUUCCUGUCUCAAUGGAUUUAUCUAUUCUGGACUUUUCAUAUAAAUGGACUCUUACAAUAUGUGGUCUUUGUCUGCUUUCUUUCACUUAGCAUAAUGGUUUUGAGCUUUAUCCACAUCAUAGAAUGUAUCAGUGUUUCAUUCCUUAUUAUCACCAAGUAGUAUGCCAUUGUAUGAAUAUAUCACAUUGUGUGUAUCUGUUCACCAGCUGGUGGACGUUUAGAUUGUUUCAGGUUUGGGGCCAUUAUGAAUAAUGCUGCUAUGAACGUUUGUAAACAUAUGUCUUCAUGUGGACAUAUGUUUUCAUUUCUCUCGAGUUGAGCCUAGGAAUGGAAUGUUAGGUAGUAUGGUAAAUUAAUUUUAACUUUUUUAAAAUACCAUCAAACUCUUUUCCAAAGUAGCUGUGCCAUUUUACAUCCAUGCCUGAAAUGUUUGAGGGUUUAUCAUUAAAAUUUAAUUUCUGCUUUUGUAUUAAAAUGGAAACCAAGACAACCUCUACUGUCUAUUUUAUUUUAUACACACCUCCCUCCCUCACCCCCCCCCAUUUUUA